GACGAACGCUGGCGGCGUGCUUAACACAUGCAAGUCGAACGGACUUUACAUGAAGCCUAGCGAUUGUAAGGUUAGUGGCGGACGGGUGAGUAACGCGUGAAUAACCUGCCUUAUACUGGGGGACAACAGUUGGAAACGACUGCUAAUACCGCAUAAGCGCACAGUUCUACAUGGAACAGUGUGAAAAACUCCGGUGGUAUAAGAUGGAUUCGCGUCUGAUUAGCUAGUUGGUGAGGUAACGGCUCACCAAGGCGACGAUCAGUAGCCGGCCUGAGAGGGUGAACGGCCACAUUGGGACUGAGACACGGCCCAAACUCCUACGGGAGGCAGCAGUGGGGAAUAUUGCACAAUGGGGGAAACCCUGAUGCAGCGACGCCGCGUGAGUGAAGAGGUAUUCGGUAUGUAAAGCUCUAUCAGCAGGGAAGAAAAUGACGGUACCUGACUAAGAAGCCCCGGNUAACACGUG
rnacentral:rRNA from 1 species